rnacentral:rRNA from 1 species
AUUGAACGCUGGCGGCAGGCCUAACACAUGCAAGUCGAGCGAGCGGCGGACGGGAGAGUAAUGUAUGGGGAUCUGCCCGAUAGAGGGGGAAAACUACUGGAAACGGUGGCUAAUACCGCAUACUAUGGGAUGAACCCAUAUGGGAUUAGCUAGUAGGUGGGGUAAAGGCUCACCAAGGCGACGAUCUCUCGCGGGUCUGAGAGGAUGAUCGGCCACACUGGGACUGAGACACGGCCCAGACUCCUACGGGAGGCGGCAGUGGGAAAUAUUCCACAAUGGGCGAAAGCCUGAUGCAGCCAGGCCGCGUGUGUGAAGAAGGCCUUCGGUUUGUAAAGUACUGUCAUCGGGGAGGCGUUACCCGCAGAGGAAGCACCGGCUAACUACGUGCCAGCAGCCGCGGUAAUAC